rnacentral:rRNA from 1 species
ACGAAAGUCUGACCGAGCAUGCCGCGUGAGUGAAGAAGGUUUUCGGAUCGUAAAGCUCUGUUGUAAGUCAAGAACGUGUGUGAGAGUGGAAAGUUCACACAGUGACGGUAGCUUACCAGAAAGGGACGGCUAACUACGUGCCAGCAGCCGCGGUAAUACGUAGGUCCCGAGCGUUGUCCGGAUUUAUUGGGCGUAAAGGGAGCGCAGGCGGUCAGGAAAGUCUGGAGUAAAAGGCUAUGGCUCAACCAUAGUGUGCUCUGGAAACUGUCUGACUUGAGUGCAGAAGGGGAGAGUGGAAUUCCAUGUGUAGCGGUGAAAUGCGUAGAUAUAUGGAGGAACACCAGUGGCGAAAGCGGCUCUCUGGUCUGUCACUGACGCUGAGGCUCGAAAGCGUGGGUAGCGAACAGGAUUAGAUACCCUGGUAGUCCACGCCGUAAACGAUGAGUGCUAGGUGUUAGGCCCUUUCCGGGGCUUAGUGCCGGAGCUAACGCCAUAAGCACUCCGCCUGGGGAGUACGACCGCAAGGUUGAAACUCAAAGGAAUUGACGGGGGCCCGCACAAGCGGUGGAGCAUGUGGUUUAAUCGAAGCAAC